CCUGGAGGGCGCCGCCGCCACAAACACCGCCACUGGCGGCGCUGGCGAGGAGCGCAGCGGGUCUUCCGCGUCUGACGGAUAACUGCGGCGAUAGCAGCGAGGUCGGAAGCCGUACAUCGCCAUCGGGCCGGCCGCUGUCGCCGUCGCAGCCGUUGUUGUCGUCGCCGCCGUCGCCGCUCGAGAGGCAGGAGCUGGCCGCAUUGCCGAUACCCAGAAGGGAAGAAGAGCGGCCGCCUCCGCCACCACCGCCGCCACCUCCGCUGGCGGCGGCGGUCCAUCAGACACUAGCCCCGCAGCUACAGCCAUCACCACCACCCACCGCUACUGCUACUGCUACUGCUGUCGCCGCCGCCGCCGAUGAUGCGGAUGGGGAAGACAAGGCGGACAGUGGGGUCGACGGCGCCUGGUCGUCGGAACAGGCUCCUGCGUCGGCGUCGGCGGCGGAGCCGGCGGAGGAUCCUGUACGGCAGCAGGAGCCUCUCGUCUCGCCAUCGCCACCGUCAUCGCCGCCGCAGCAGCUCGAGGUGCGCGUGGGUCCUUCGGUGAGCUGCCGUUGCUAUCGCUGUCAGUUGUCAGUUGUUAGUUACUGCA
rnacentral:lncRNA from 1 species